rnacentral:rRNA from 1 species
CCUACGGGGGGCAGCAGUGAGGAAUAUUGGUCAAUGGACGAGAGUCUGAACCAGCCAAGUAGCGUGAAGGAUGACUGCCCUAUGGGUUGUAAACUUCUUUUAUAUGGGAAUAAAAUGUUCCACGUGUGGGAUUUUGUAUGUACCAUAUGAAUAAGGAUCGGCUAACUCCGUGCCAGCAGCCGCGGUAAUACGGAGGAUCCGAGCGUUAUCCGGAUUUAUUGGGUUUAAGGGGAGCGUAGGUGGAUUGUUAAGUCAGUUGUGAAAGUUUGCGGCUCAACCGUAAAAUUGCAGUUGAAACUGGCAGUCUUGAGUACAGUAGAGGUGGGCGGAAUUCGUGGUGUAGCGGUGAAAUGCUUAGAGAUCACGAAGAACUCCGAUUGCGAAGGCAGUUCACUGGACUGCAACUGACACUGAGGCUCGAAAGUGUGGGUAUCAAACAGGAUUAGAUACCCCAGUAGUC